rnacentral:lncRNA from 1 species
UCUCUAUGACAUGAUCCUAGAUGGCAGGAGUGCCACUUCACUGAUCCAGGUGUAGGCUAGAGGCAUGUCUCUUCAUCAUGUAUAUAUAUCUUUGAUAUUAUAUACGACUAUCCUUUGGAGUCAUCCACCAUCGUAGCUUCCGCUCUUCUUCUCUUCAUGGUAUCGGAGCCCUGAGGGCUUCAGAUCCAGGGACGAUGGCGCUGGCCGAGGAGGAGG